AACGAACGCUGGCGGCAUGCUUAACACAUGCAAGUCGAACGGACUUGUAGGGCUUGCUCUACAAGUUAGUGGCAGACGGGUGAGUAACGCGUGGGAAUGUACCUUUUGGUUCGGAAUGACUUCGGGAAACUGAAGCUAAUACCGGAUAAGCCCGUGAGGGGAAAGAUUUAUCGCCGAAAGAGCAGCCCGCGUUAGAUUAGGUAGUUGGUAGGGUAAUGGCCUACCAAGCCUACGAACUAUAGCUGGUCUGAGAGGAUGAUCAGCCACACUGGGACCGAGACACGGCCCAGACUCCUACGGGAGGCAGCAGUGGGGAAUAUUGGACAAUGGGGGAAACCCUGAUCCAGCAAUGCCGCGUGAGUGAUGAAGGCCUUCGGGUUGUAAAGCUCUUUUGUCAGGGACGAUGAUGACGGUACCUGACGAAUAAGCUCCGGCUAACUUCGUGCCAGCCGCCGCAGUAA
rnacentral:rRNA from 1 species